rnacentral:tRNA from 1 species
CAAGACGUAGCUAUAAACAAAAAGCGCUCAGCUUACACCUGAAAGAUGCCUACCAUACAGGCCGCCUUG